UAGGGAAUCUUCGGCAAUGGGGGCAACCCUGACCGAGCAACGCCGCGUGAGUGAAGAAGGUUUUCGGAUCGUAAAGCUCUGUUGUAAGUCAAGAACGGGUGUGAGAGUGGAAAGUUCACACUGUGACGGUAGCUUACCAGAAAGGGACGGCUAACUACGUGCCAGCAGCCGCGGUAAUACGUAGGUCCCGAGCGUUGUCCGGAUUUAUUGGGCGUAAAGCGAGCGCAGGCGGUUUGAUAAGUCUGAAGUUAAAGGCUGUGGCUCAACCAUAGUUCGCUUUGGAAACCUGUCAAACUUGAGUGCAGAAGGGGAGAGUGGAAUUCCAUGUGUAGCGGUGAAAUGCGUAGAUAUAUGGAGGAACACCGGUGGCGAAAGCGGCUCUCUGGUCUGUAACUGACGCUGAGGCUCGAAAGCGUGGGGAGCGAACAGGAUUAGAUACCCUGGUAGUCCACGCCGUAAACGAUGAGUGCUAGGUGUUGGAUCCUU
rnacentral:rRNA from 1 species